rnacentral:rRNA from 1 species
UAGCGGAGGAAAAGAAACUAACAAGGAUUCCCCUAGUAACGGCGAGUGAAGCGGGAAGAGCUCAAAUUUGAAAUCUGGUGGCCUCAGGUCAUCCGAGUUGUAAUCUAUAGAAGUGUUUUCCGUGCUGGCUCAUGUACAAGUCCCUUGGAACAGGGCGUCAUAGAGGGUGAGAAUCCCGUCCUUGACAUGAACUACCAGUGCUCUGUGAUACAUUUUCAACGAGUCGAGUUGUUUGGGAAUGCAGCUCAAAAUGGGUGGUAAAUUCCAUCUAAAGCUAAAUAUUGGCGAGAGACCGAUAGCGAACAAGUACCGUGAGGGAAAGAUGAAAAGCACUUUGGAAAGAGAGUUAAACAGUAUGUGAAAUUGUUGAAAGGGAAACGAUUGAAGUCAGUCGUGCUCUUUGGAUUCAGCCGGUUCUGCCGGUGUACUUCCUUUGAGUGGGGUCAACAUCAGUUUUGAUCGCUGGAUAAAGGCUGGAGGAACGUAGUACCCUCGGGUAAACUUAUAGCCUCCUGUCACAUACAGUGGUUGGGACUGAGGAACGCAGCACGCCUUUAUGGCCGGGAUUCGUCCACGUACGUGCUUAGGAA